rnacentral:ncRNA from 2 species
GUUGAACGCCGCUGUCGAGGUUCCCCGUUCCAGCGAUGGCGACGGGGCUAAGACGGGAAGCCGGUGAUGUCCCCUGGGGCAAAGUCCGGCGCUGCCCCCGCAACUGUAAGCGGUGAGCGGCGGUUCCUUUUCGUGUCACUGGGCUUUUGACGAAGCCCGGGAAGGCCGGAACCGCCGUGUCGACCCGUGAGCCAGGAGACCUGCCUCCGACGCCAUAUGUUC